rnacentral:rRNA from 1 species
GACGAACGCUGGCGGCGUGCUUAACACAUGCAAGUCGAACGGGCUCUGUCUGGCUGUGUGCUGGGUGGGGUUAGUGGCGAACGGGUGAGUAAUACGUGAGUAACCUGCCCUCUUCUUUGGGAUAAGCCUUGGAAACGGGGUCUAAUACUGGAUAUUCCUGUCUGGUCGCAUGGCUGGGUGGGGAAAGUUUUUUUCGGUGGGGGAUGGGCUCGCGGCCUAUCAGCUUGUUGGUGAGGUGAUGGCCUACCAAGGCGUCGACGGGUAGCCGGCCUGAGAGGGUGACCGGCCACACUGGGACUGAGAUACGGCCCAGACUCCUACGGGAGGCAGCAGUGGGGGAUAUUGCACAAUGGGCGCAAGCCUGAUGCAGCGACGCCGCGUGGGGGAUGACGGCUUUCGGGUUGUAAACCUCUUUCGUCGGGGGACAAGGCUCUGCUUGGUGGUGGGGUUGAGGGUACCCGGUGAAGAAGCGCCGGCUAACUACGUG